ensembl:snoRNA small nucleolar RNA U13
AUCCUUUGUGGUUCCUAAGGGUGACGAUUGGGUGUUCACAUCCUCGUGGGAGAUGUGCCUCCCUCAAACCUUGUUACAGCACGGGCACAUUACCCGUCUGACG